AAGGAUAAUAUACGGAAAUAUCACCAACAGGUGAUAGACGGAAUUAACAUGACAUAUUGUAUUCAGUUUUGAAUGCUCAUUCAUUUGAGGAUUCAACGAUUGUACAUUGAAAACUAGAUAAGUAAGUAUAGAUUUUACCAAGCAAAACCGAGUGACAAGCGAAAGCUUGAAACAAAAUUAUCGCUAGUCGUCGACAGACGACUCACAUAAUUAAUAACUGGUGAAUUGAGURAAAGCUCAAUCAUAAAA
rnacentral:misc_RNA from 1 species